UACGGAGGAUCCGAGCGUUAUCCGGAAUUAUUGGGUUUAAAGGGUGCGUAGGCGGCCAGAUAAGUCAGGGGUGAAAGUCGGCAGCUCAACUGUCGCAGUGCCUUUGAUACUGUUUGGCUUGAAUUCGGUUGAAGAUGGCGGAAUGAGACAAGUAGCGGUGAAAUGCAUAGAUAUGUCUUAGAACUCCGAUUGCGAAGGCAGCUCACUAAGCUGGUAUUGACGCUGAUGCACGAAAGCGUGGGGAUCGAACAGG
rnacentral:rRNA from 1 species